rnacentral:lncRNA from 1 species
AAAAGAGAGAAGAAUUGCUCUUCUUGGGUCACCAUAUAUGUGCGCCUGCAUUUCUAGUUUUUGGUUUAUAAGAUUGUUGUUCAUUUGACAUCCUUCUCGUUCGUCACUCAAUGUAGCAUGCAUUUCUAGUUUUUGGUUUAUAAGAUUGUUGUUCAUUUGACAUCCUUCUCCGUUCGUCACUCAAUGUAGCAUGCAUUUCUAGUUUUUGGUUUAUAAGAUUGUUGUUCAUUUGACAUCCUUCUCCGUUCGUCACUCAAUGUAGCUGCUUUUACAUAUUUGAUUACAGGA